rnacentral:rRNA from 1 species
AAGCUCGUAGUUGGAUCUAGGGGUUCUUGACGUCGGUGCUCUCGCGAGCUUACUGGCGCUCGGACCCCUACAUUGUGCGGUUCUGGCUCGUCGUGCUCUUGACUGAGUGCGCGAUCUGGCCGCAGCGUUUACCUUGAAAAAAUUAGAGUGCUCAAAGCAGGCGUGCGCCUGGAUAGUUCAGCAUGGAAUAAUGGAACAGGACCUCGGUCCCGUUUUGUUGGUUUUAAGGACGGAGGUAAUGAUUAAGAGGGACAGACGGGGGCAUUCGUACUGCGGCGUUAGAGGUGAAAUUCUUGGACCGCCGCAUGACGAACUAGUGCGAAAGCAUUUGCCAAGAAUGUUUCCAUUAAUCAAGAACGAAAGUUAGAGGAUCGAAGGCGAUCAGAUACCGCCGUAGUUCUAACCAUAAACGAUGCCGACCGGCAAUCUGCAAAAGAGUGUUUAUCUUUGCAGGCAGCCCUGGGGAAACCAGAGUUUUCAGGUUAUGGGGGAAGUAUGGUUGCAAAGCUGAAACUUAAAGGAAUUGACGGAAGGGCACCACCAGGAGUGGAGCCUGCGGCUUAAUUUGACUCAACACGGGAAAACUCACCCGGCCCGGACACAGUAAGGAUUGACAGAUUGAGAGCUCUUUCUUGAUUCUGUGGGUGGUGGUGCAUGGCCGUUCUUAGUUGGUGGAGUGAUUUGUCUGGUUAAUUCCGAUAACGAACGAGACUCCAACCUGCUAAAUAGGCGUCUGAUCCUUUUGGAUGAGAAGGCCUUCUUAGAGGGACAAUCGGCGUUUAGCCGGAUGAGAUGGAGCAAUAACAGGUCUGUGAUGCCCUUAGAUGUUCGGGGCCGCACGCGCGCUACACUGAAAGAGUCAACGUGUGCCUACCCUACUCCGAUAGGAGCGGGUAACCCUGUGAGCCCCUUUCGUGAUGGGGAUAGGGGAUUGCAAUUAUUCUCCUUGAACGAGGAAUUCCCAGUAAGUGCAAGUCAUAAGCUUGCAUUGAUUACGUCCCUGCCCUUUGUACACACCGCCCGUCGCUACUACCGAUUGAAUGAUUUAGUGAGGUCUCCGGAUCGGGGGACUUCUGGGAGCUUCGGCGCCCUUU